GCAGGGGUUGCAGAGUCUGGUAAUGCGCAGGACUUAAGAUCCUGUGGCCUAGCGCCUUCGAGAGUUCAAAUCUCUCCCCCUGCA
rnacentral:tRNA from 1 species